rnacentral:rRNA from 1 species
CCUACGGGGGGCAGCAGUGGGGAAUAGUGCGCAAUGGGCGAAAGCCUGACGCAGCGACGCCGCGUGAGGGAUGAAGGUCUUCGGAUCGUAAACCUCUGUCAGCAGGGAAGAACGGUCACUGUGCUAAUCAGCAGUGAAUUGACGGUACCUGCAAAGGAAGCACCGGCUAACUCCGUGCCAGCAGCCGCGGUAAUACGGAGGGUGCGAGCGGUAAUCGGAAUUAAUGGGCGUAAAGCGCUCGUAGGCGGUAUGUCAAGUCAAGGGUGAAAUCCCCGCGCUCAACGUGGGAACUGCCUUUGAAACUGGCAAACUGUAGUGUGUGAGAGGAUAGUGUAAUUCCAGGUGUAGGAGUGAAUUCCGUAGAUAUCUGGAGGAACAUCAGUGGCGAAGGCGACUAUCUGGCACAUAACUGCCGCUGAGGAGCGAAAGCGUGGGUAGCAAACAGGAUUAGAUACCCGGGUAGUC